GGUUAAGCGACUAAGCGUACACGGUGGAUGCCCUGGCAGUCAGAGGCGAUGAAGGGCGUGCUAAUCUGCGAUAAGCGCCGGUAAGGUGAUAUGAACCGUUAUAACCGGCGAUACCCGAAUGGGGAAACCCAGUGUGAUUCGUCACACUAUCAUUAACUGAAUCCAUAGGUUAAUGAGGCGAACCGGGGGAACUGAAACAUCUAAGUACCCCGAGGAAAAGAAAUCAACCGAGAUUCCCCCAGUAGCGGCGAGCGAACGGGGAGGAGCCCAGAGCCUGAAUCAGCAUGUGUGUUAGUGGAAGCGUCUGGAAAGGCGCGCGAUACAGGGUGACAGCCCCGUACACAAAAGCGCAUGUGCUGUGAGCUCGAUGAGUAGGGCGGGACACGUGGUAUCCUGUCUGAAUAUGGGGGGACCAUCCUCCAAGGCUAAAUACUCCUGACUGACCGAUAGUGAACCAGUACCGUGAGGGAAAGGCGAAAAGAACCCCGGCGAGGGGAGUGAAAAAGAACCUGAAACCGUGUACGUACAAGCAGUGGGAGCACAGGUUUACCUGU
rnacentral:rRNA from 1 species